UACAGAGGGUGCAAGCGUUAAUCGGAAUUACUGGGCGUAAAGGGCGCGUAGGCGGCUUGGUCAGUCCCGUGUGAAAUCCCUCGGCUCAACUGAGGAACUGCACGGGAAACUGCCUGGCUUGAGUUCGGGAGAGGGAAGCGGAAUUCCGGGUGUAGCGGUGAAAUGCGUAGAUAUCCGGAGGAACACCGGUGGCGAAGGCGGCUUCCUGGACCGACACUGACGCUGAGGCGCGAAAGCUAGGGGAGCAAACGGG
rnacentral:rRNA from 1 species